UGAGGAAUAUUGGUCAAUGGGCGCAAGCCUGAACCAGCCAUCCCGCGUGCAGGAAGACGGCGCUAUGCGUUGUAGACUGCUUUUCCAGGGGGAGAAACUUGCGCACGUGUUGCGCAAUUGACGGUACCCUGGGAAUAAGCAUCGGCUAACUCCGUGCCAGCAGCCGCGGUAAUACGGAGGAUGCGAGCGUUAUCCGGAUUCAUUGGGUUUAAAGGGUGCGUAGGCGGACUAUUAAGUCAGUGGUGAAAUCCUGCAGCUUAACUGCAGAACUGCCAUUGAUACUGAUAGCCUUGAGUUUGGUCAAGGUAGGCGGAAUGUGUAAUGUAGCGGUGAAAUGCUUAGAUAUUACACAGAACACCAAUUGCGUAGGCAGCUUACUGAGCCGAUACUGACGCUGAGGCGCGAAAGCGUGGGGAUCGAACAG
rnacentral:rRNA from 1 species